AAAAAUGAUAUGAUGAGCUCGUUAGGUUGCAGCAGCAUCCGUGAUGCCAUGUGCAUAACCAUCGAAUUCCACACGAGAUUUCUGAUCAUUCUU
rnacentral:snoRNA from 1 species